ensembl:lncRNA
UUUGGCUCAACAAACAACAUCCUGGUAAUGUGUUUCACACUUUAUUCAUAGAAAAGCACUGAGAUUCCAACACAAAUCAAUAUAAAAUGGUAGUAGCGUUACAUAAAUAGUAAUAAAUUCUCGCUUUAUAGACAGUAGCUCAAGAAGUCGCACAAAAAAAAACAAAUUACAAAAAAAGAAAAGGUGUUGAUGAUAAGCUAUGAUACUUCUGUGGCAACAAAUACUGGAGAUACCUUUUCAUAAUCAGUAGCACAAAGAGGCAACAAACACUUUCAAAUAUCCCUUAAAGUUGGAAAGAAUUCAAAAACAAAAACUGGGAAAACAGUAGGUGAACUAGAUCUCUACCAGCAAACAGUACUUCUCCUACAAACCAAAGACAGACGGGGACAACAAAGAAAAACGCCCAGGAACUGGCUGAGUUAGUUAAUAAAGAAGGAAAAGAAAAGCAAGGAAAACUUUGCUGCAGUGAAUGCAUCACUUAAAGGCAGCUGACUGGAGCUCCCCGGCGAAAUUAUUUUCCUAAUAUAUUAUCAAAAAAAAAAAAAAAAUCAAUGUAUCAUUUCAUUAUCCUCAUGUAGAAACCUUGCAGCUUUAUUUCGUUUUCUGCAAGCUACUGUAGCGCACUGAUGUCAACGUGUUUCAGGAUAGUCGCACUUAAACGCAACUGGCUUUAAAUCCAACGUCCUCCUUGUGCGAGAGGGAUCGAGGUGUUCAAGAACAUCGGGGGAAAACAAAACUAUAGAAGACCUGAACUCAGCCAGUUUAAUGAGGUGAAGAGGAACUGAGAAAGCAUUUUUUUUUAAAAGUUAGAAGGAAUGAGCACGAGGUCAUCCACAAGCCGUCUCUUUUUUUGUUCAUACAGUUGCCGUUUCUUGACAUUUGCGUAUCGUUUCGUCUCACCACAGUGUUGCCGCACAAUGCGACACCUCUGAGAAGACACUGAAGGCUUUAGUCCUGAUUAAAGAAAACCAACAAACAAAACAAAUAAAAAAUCAACAACUUUUGUACAUUGAUCGACCAGAAAGGCAUUUUCCACCGUCUUUCGCUUUUUCGUCUCCUCUAAACGUUGCAGCGGAAACAGGCCGGCCACUGUGCACUGUCCGAAUAUAAGCGUGAUGGGUCUCCUUUUCGUCCGCAACACCCCCGUCCUCAUUAAUAGUGGUUCAACCCACUGGGUCUCUGCACUCAGUUUUAAGGGGGUAUAUUAAAGAGGGGACAACACCAUCGGAGUGGUUCUGCAUAGUCAGGUUUAGUAAGAAUCCGUUUACAAAUGAAUGCCUUCCUCAUUUUACUCAACUUCAAAUAACAUGCUCACUUUUGGAAAACACCCCCCAUC